GAUGAACGCUGGCGGCGUGCCUAAUACAUGCAAGUCGAGCGAACGGACGAGAAGCUUGCUUCUCUGAUGUUAGCGGCGGACGGGUGAGUAACACGUGGAUAACCUACCUAUAAAACUGGGAUAACUUCGGGAAACCGGAGCUAAUACCGGAUAAUAUUUUGAACCGCAUGGUUCAAAAGUGAAAGACGGUCUUGCUGUCACUUAUAGAUGGAUCCGCGCUGCAUUAGCUAGUUGGUAAGGUAACGGCUUACCAAGGCAACGAUGCAUAGCCGACCUGAGAGGGUGAUCGGCCACACUGGAACUGAGACACGGUCCAGACUCCUACGGGAGGCAGCAGUAGGGAAUCUUCCGCAAAGGGCGAAAGCCUGACGGAGCAACGCCGCGUGAGUGAUGAAGGUCUUCGGAUCGUAAAACUCUGUUAUUAGGGAAGAACAUAUGUGUAAGUAACUGUGCACAUCUUGACGGUACCUAAUCAGAAAGCCACGGCUAACUACGUG
rnacentral:rRNA from 1 species